GGCCAUUUUAGACCCCCAGGGAAACAGCCUUCCUGGAGCGUUGUCUGGAGGUUCCAGGGACAGGGCAGCCUCCCAGAGCCGAGCAAGAGCUCAAGGUACAAAUGAGAGAUUUGCUAUACCGUGAGAAGUCAACAACUUAGCCACCACUAUCCCGAGGGAUUACUUUUUAGACCUUCUUUCACAUUCAGAAAAGUAGUAUAGAUUCAGGAGAGGCAAGAA
rnacentral:lncRNA from 1 species